rnacentral:lncRNA from 1 species
GGCAUGGCCUUCAGUGAGUCCUCCACUCCUACUCUUGCAACACAAGCUCGAUCGGCAGCUCUCGUAUGGCCUUCAGUAGUUUGUAUUUUUCAUUGGCUUUCCACUGACAUUAAACGAGCAGCUACAGAACAUGAGUACAGAGUAGAGAGUAGUACUGUAUCUAUUUAAGUUCAGCUUAUCUGUCAUGCUCUAGCACAAAGUCAUGGUCGGCUCUUUUGAGUUCGUCACUGAAAUGAAAGGAAAAAUGAAAAGUCAUUUUCGUCAUAAGUACUAGCUAUCAGGCUUUCAGUAGAUUUUUUUUUUAAUACAAAGCCAAUGUUAACUAGAAGCUCAGAGAAAUGUCUUUUUUAGAAAGUCAAAAGUGAUGAAAGCGAAGUGUUUUAUGUGAAAGUACUGAUGCAAAUGACAGAUUUAGGCCUCACAUGAUUUUAGAGCUGCAGAAGAUAGGAAUCCUUGGCAGCAUCUGUAGUACCUUCUGUUCGGGUUUUGUUUGUGAUGUCAAGACCCACCCAAGGAUAGUUCCCAUGUGCUGCUCCUCCCCAGAACUAGCAAAAUGCCCCACCUCCACUGACACGAACGCCUCUUGUAUCCUGGAAAAGAAACAUGCAGUAGUUUUUUCUUAAUGAUAUGAGGAAAAUUAAAGGAGAAUAUUACAGACAGUGCUUAACACUAGUUCAAACUGCUCCAGUUAACUGAUAAAAACCUGCUGAAACCUCAUCUUUAUACCUGGAUGAAUCUCCUUUUAAUUAGCUAGCGCGGUAUUGAACAAAUCUGUUUUAUCAACAUGAUAAUGCUACUAGCUAGGACUAGUAGAUACGGAGUAUACUUGUUGAAGCCUCAGCAGUAAACAUCUUCAGAUACUGUCGAGUGUUGAGUAGUUAAAGACUCAACAGUAGCAGUAAAAUCACAGCAGAAGGCAGAAAAAAAAAAUCCUGAACAUGACGAAACAGCUACCUGAUGAGAUUUGACUGUGUCAGUUUUACUGAUUCCUUGCUGGUGCUCCGGCCUCCUCGCGCAGGCAAGCUGACGAGC